UACGUAGGUGACAAGCGUUGUCCGGAUUUACUGGGCGUAAAGCGUGCGUAGGUGGUUCGUUAAGUCUGAUGUGAAAGCCCUGGGCUCAACCUGAGAAUGGCAUUGGAUACUGGCGACCUAGAGUGCGGUAGAGGGGUGUGGAAUUCCCGGUGUAGCAGUGAAAUGCGUAGAUAUCGGGAGGAACAUCUGUGGCGAAGGCGACACCCUGGACCAGCACUGACACUGAGGCACGAAAGCUAGGGGAGCGAAAGGG
rnacentral:rRNA from 1 species